rnacentral:lncRNA from 1 species
AAGUUGAAAUUAUUGAUUUUUCGAAGUUGGAACUCGCUUGUAAAAUCCGAAAUUCAAACUCAAGCUCCAAGCUCCAUUAAUGGCUAUGAAGUUUCCAUGGUUGGUUCUUCAAGUUUCAGGCUCCAAUUCAAAAACUAAUACCCUUAGAAGCUUUUAACAAUGGCUUUGAAGAUAUUUACAGAAUGAGUAACACUACAACAAAUUCAAUGACAAGGGAGAAAUCCAUUCUUUUUAG